rnacentral:rRNA from 1 species
GACGUAGGGCGCGAGCGUUGUCCGGAUUUAUUGGGCGUAAAGAGCUCGUAGGCGGCUUGUUUACGUCGACUGUGAAAACCCGCGGCUCAACUGCGGGCCUGCAGUCGAUACGGGCAGGCUAGAGUUCGGUAGGGGGAGACUGGAAUUCCUGGUGUAGCGGUGAAAUGCGCAGAUAUCAGGGAGGGAAACACCCGGGUGGGCGAAAGGGCGGGG